rnacentral:snoRNA from 1 species
AGCCUCUCAGAAACUCACCUUGAGAGUUUCCAGUACUCUACUAGUCUCGACUAUGGGAGGGAAAGUCAUGCAGAUGCAUGCCCAUUCCAUUCCUAGCUUGGCCAGUGGCUAGCGAGUGGAAGGCAAUCUGCUACAAGU